UGAGGAAUAUUGGUCAAUGGAGGCAACUCUGAACCAGCCAUGCCGCGUGAAGGAUGAAGGUCCUCUGGAUUGUAAACUUCUUUUAUAGAGGAAAAAACCCCGGUAUUNUUACCGGGUUGACGGUACUCUAUGAAUAAGCACCGGCUAACUCCGUG
rnacentral:rRNA from 1 species